rnacentral:snRNA from 1 species
UAAACUCAUAUUUAUCAUACAA